GCCUGGGUGGCUCAGUUUGUUAAGCAUCUGACUUGGGCUCAGGUCAUGAUCGCACAGUUCAUGAGUUCAAGCCCCAUGUCAGGCU
rnacentral:tRNA from 1 species